rnacentral:rRNA from 1 species
AUUGAACGCUGGCGGCAGGCUUAACACAUGCAAGUCGAGCGGGGGAAGGUAGCUUGCUACCGGACCUAGCGGCGGACGGGUGAGUAAUGCUUAGGAAUCUGCCUAUUAGUGGGGGACAACAUCUCGAAAGGGAUGCUAAUACCGCAUACGUCCUACGGGAGAAAGCAGGGGAUCUUCGGACCUUGCGCUAAUAGAUGAGCCUAAGUCGGAUUAGCGAGUUGGUGGGGUAAAGGCCUACCAAGGCGACGAUCUGUAGCGGGUCUGAGAGGAUGAUCCGGCACACUUGGGCUGAGACACGGACAAGAAUCCUACGGGAGGCAGGAGUGGGGAAUAUUUGACAAUGGGGGGAACCCUGAUCCAGCCAUGCCGGGUGUGUGAAGAAGGCCUUAUGGUUGUAAAGCACUUUAAGCGAGGAGGAGGCUACUCUAGUUAAUACCUAGGGAUAGUGGACGUUACUCGCAGAAUAAGCACCGGCUAACUCUGUGCCAGCCGCCGCCGUAA